rnacentral:rRNA from 1 species
UAGGGAAUCUUCGGCAAUGGGGGGAACCCUGACCGAGCAACGCCGCGUGAGUGAAGAAGGUUUUCGGAUCGUAAAGCUCUGUUGUUAAGGAAGAACGAGUGUGAGAAUGGAAAGUUCAUACUGUGACGGCACUUAACCAGAAAGGGACGGCUAACUACGUGCCAGCAGCCGCGGUAAUACGUAGGUCCCGAGCGUUGUCCGGAUUUAUUGGGCGUAAAGCGAGCGCAGGCGGUUAGAUAAGUCUGAAGUUAAAGGCAGUGGCUCAACCAUUGUAGGCUUUGGAAACUGUUUAACUUGAGUGCAGAAGGGGAGAGUGGAAUUCCAUGUGUAGCGGUGAAAUGCGUAGAUAUAUGGAGGAACACCGGUGGCGAAAGCGGCUCUCUGGUCUGUAACUGACGCUGAGGCUCGAAAGCGUGGGGAGCGAACAGGAUUAGAUACCCUGGUAGUCCACGCCGUAACGAUGAGUGCUAGGUGUUAGGUCCUUUCCGGGACUUAGUGCCGCAGCUAACGCAUUAAGCACUCCGCCUGGGGAGUACGACCGCAAGGU